rnacentral:lncRNA from 1 species
AUGCUGACUCCCAGCUCUCUUUCUUACCUACUUAACAUAAAACAUUGUGCAGCCUCCCAUUUAUUCAUUUUCUUCCUUUUAAAUAUCCAUAUAUCCUCUCAUUUACCAACUCUUAAUCUCACUUUCUGAUUUUCCUCUCCUCUAUUUGAAUAAAAUUCCACAUGAAUUUUAUUGUUCACAUAUUGGUUUUUCUUCUCUCUUUUGGAGGGCCUCCAUUCUAAACUUUGAUCUCACAAUCUCUCUGAGAAGUAUAUUUUCUGAGUGAGGUCUCUUUGUCCCAAAAGGCUUUUGGUUCUGUAGAAAAAGAGAGAGAGAUUAGAGCCUGCACCCGUCUUGGUAGUAGAUGUUCCUCUUAACAGCAGGAGCAAUUUUGGUGGCACUAUUCUAGUAAAUGGAAUGUAGGCUAGUCUUGAACAACUUUUUUUUUUGUCUCUUGUCUUUUUAGGGCUGCACCCACAGCAUAUGGGGAUUCCCAGGCUAGGCAUCUAUCAGAGCUAUAGCUGCCACCCUAUGCCACAGCAGCAGCAAUGCCAGAUCCGAGCCACAUCUGUGACCUACACCACAGCUCACAGCAAUGCCGGAUCCUCAACCCACUCAGCAAGGCCAGGGAUGGAACCUACAACCCCAUGGUUCCUAGUUGGAUUUGUUUCCACUGCUCCAUGACAGGAAUUCCUUGAACCACUUACUUUUGAUUUAGAGAUUAUCUCCAACUGAAUUACUGUCUUAGACAUAACACAUCCACUCAAGUAAAUGUAAAUAGGUUAGAUAAUUUGUAGGGAACCUGCUUAAAUAAGACCCUUUUAGGAAUCUGUCUUACUCUACGCUCUUGGCUCUGAAAGCCAAGGCUUGGACAAGGAUUUGCGUACAAGCAGUUUAUUGGAAAAUGUCAUACCAGGGAGCACGAGUAUAAGACCAGAUGCAUACAAAAGGGAAGAAGGAUAAGCCAGUGCAAGAAUGCCUCAUCAAGGCAGCCAGCCCUAUGGAUGACAUAUGUCUCACCCCACCAGGAUCUCCAGAGGCAUCUUCUAAAAGGUAUCUCAGAACUAUGUAUCUAGGGCAAAAAGCAUUUGCCCAUGGGUUUCUAUUUCUCAUUGGUCAAACAGGACCUGGAAACAUUGCUCCCAAAAGCUUCAUGUGCCCCUAUUUGAAAACAUAGCAGGUGCUGUGUGACCCUUGAGACUUAUGGGGAGAAUGGCCAGCGCCUACACUAGCCUCACGUCCUUAUGUAUUUCUGAGCCAGUUCCCGUGCCUGCAUAUCCUUAAAGACCACUGCUCCCUUUUUUUUUUUGCGAUUUUAUGAGUGGAAUGGUUUUUCAAAACAAACAAGAAAAUACUUAAUUAAUAGAGUUUAGGUACAUUUUCCAGAGAAGAAUUCAAUUAAUUUUUAGUAUUUUCAACUAACAGGUUUUCACUAGUUAACAUUACCAUUCAAAGAACAUUUCAAGAGAGUUUUAAUCUAGAUUGUUCCCAGGCUAGGAUCUGAAUAGGAGCUGCGGCUACUGGCCUACACCGCAGGCACAGCAACUUGGCAUCUGAGCCACGUCUGUGACCUACACCACAGCUCACAGCAAUGCUGUAUCCUUAACCUACUGAGCAAGACCAGGGAUCCAGACCCACAUCUUCAUGGAUACUAGUCAGGUUCUUAACCUGCUGAGCCAUGACAGGAACUCCAUAAAAUUUGUAGUUUUUUAUGAUAUAAAUUUUUAAAUUCUCUAAAAUGCCAUUAUGUAUAGCUAAGGUCUUAUCUACAUUAGGUAUGUCUUCAGUUAUUGAUGGGUUUUAGUAAUAGUGUGAAGGUCUGAUCUUUGGCAACUAGUACAGACCUACACAUUUUAUUUAAAAGUGAAUUUUAAAUGUGUGUGUCACAAAAGUACCACCAUUGGCAGGAUAAUACGUCUAUUUUUCCUUUUGAUUAAUACAAAGCAACAUAAUUUAUUUUUGAUCCUUUCAGAUAGUCAAGAGCAUUUUUAUGCAGUUACAAAGUGUUCUCUCUCUCACUCUCACUUUCUCUCAUAUAUGAUCUGAUUGAAAAUUUCGUGAGACUUUUAGAAUCCCUAUUAGGACAAGAUGUAGUAGUGAUGAUAGGAGAAGUAGGCUUAAAAGUGAUAGCUUUGCAAAAACAAAAAAUAACACAUAUAUAUAUGUACAUUUGAAAAUAUAUUUGCACUCCAACAUUCAUAGCAUCAUUAUUUAUAAUUAAUAAGAUAUGGAGGCAACGAGUGUCCUUCAACAGAAGAAUGGAUUAAGAAAAUGUCAUAUACACAACGGAGUAUUACUCUGCCAUAAAAAGAAUGGAUUUUUGCCAUUUGCAUGUAGCAGCAUGGGUGGACUUGGAGGGCAUUAGGCUAAGUGAAAUAACUCAGACAAAGAAAGACAAAUACUGUAUGAUAGCACUUACAUAUGGAAUCUAAAAAAAUACAACAAAGUAGUAAAUGUAACAAAAAGAAGCAGACUCAUAAAGAACAAAUUAGUGGUUACCAGUGGGGAGGAGGAGAGGGAAUAUAGCGUUCAGUAAGGGGAAGGUACAAACUGGUGGGUGUAAGAUAGAUAGGCUCAAGGAUGUAUUGUACAACAUGGAGAAUAUAGCCAAUAUUUUAUAAUAACUCAAUUUUGUAUUUUAUAAUACAAUUCCCUUAAAAUUGUAUAGAGAUUAAUAAUAUUUUUUCAAAAAAUGUGAAAGUGAUGAUGUUGUCAUUAUACUUUGUAAUCAUUUAGGGAAUCCAAGCAUGUGAAAAUUUCCAGAGCCCCUACUGAUUAAUAUUGGAAAUAAUCUUGUUCUGCUCCCUGAAGAGAUUUAAUAUAGUAUGUCUUUCUUAGAAACUAAGUUUACACAGGAGCAAUUAAAUUACUACGGAAGAUUGAAUGAUUGUCAAUAAGUAUUUGCUCUUCACCACCACCACUCAGUUGACUUGCUCUGGCUGAUAAAAUGUGGAUGAAAUAACAUACACAUUUGGAGCUUAGGAGUAAGAGGCAUUACAUGUUUCUGAUUUUCCCUCUGGAAGCUCCUGAUCUCUGCCUUGAGAGGAACAAACCCCUCCUGCCUUGGCCCCUGAUGAGAUACAGAGUAGAACUGAAGUCAGUCGCAAGCUGGAGCCAAGCGCACUACCUGAAACCUUUAGGAGAACCUUCCAUCAGAGCCCAAUCUGAGCUGUUGUCCACCAUGCUGACUGCAAGCAUGACAAUAAUUGCUUGCUACUCAAAGCCACUGGUAUGUAGGUAGUUUGCUAUAUAACUGUAUUUUGAGAAAAGCUGACUGAAGCAGUUGUUCACACAGACAAACCUACAGAGACAAUUUUACAUUUGUAAUAAUUUUCAGUAUAUACGUGGCACAAAAAUCUGGGUCUUUGGGAUGGGACCUGAUAACAGAUUAAAUAGGAAUUAGGAAUGUGAAUUGCGGGAUCAGAUUAAGCCAAGUUUCUACUCUGUGUUUGUUAGCUGGUAACUGUCUGAGCAAGUUCUCUGAACUCGAGUUUUCUUAUCCAUAUAGUGAGAAUUAAGGAAGAUAAUGCAGAUAAAGUACUUAGCACAGGGUCUGCUUCACAGUAAGUGAAGCACGUUUGGAAGAUCUUAUGAUCUUACUGUCAUACUAUCUUAUCUUAUGAUUGUUAGGUUGCACGUAAUGGAUCAGCACAGUUAUGUACAGCUGGAUUAUCACUUAAACUGACCCUCUCUUUGACGUUUAUUAGCUCAAGCUACGUGGCCCUGGUCCUUUCUAAAGUCUAAUGCUUUUUCCGAGAUUUUUGUGAAUUCCUGCAGGAUUUAUUUGCAUGGCUACCUCUCCGCUGGAUUCCACUGGGCUGAGUCUCAUGUACAGUUUAUCAACCCUGAUUUUCUUCUUUCUCUCCGCCAUGCCAGUUCAGCCAUGGAAUUCAAUUCCUUUUCUUUGAUUUACAUGACAAAAGCACUCUGAAGUCUUUUAUGUAUAGCAGAUUACUCAAGGCUUGCAUCAGAGGAGACGGUUUACCUCAAAACAAGUGAUUAUAUUUGAUUUUUCCAUAACUCUGAUCUUUAAAGUCUUCUGACUUUCCUACUCAUGGAUUUCCCAGUGGCAGCUUGUCUCCAUAGGGCCCACUCCUUCCCUCUCUACUCCUUGUCCUCUCUCCUCUUAGCUUUCCCCUAAUUCCUCUUAUUUUCUCAUGCAGACACUUAACUAUCAUGUUUUUCUUUAAUUGUUCCUUGUUUUUAUGCAUGUAACAUGUUUUUAUGUAACAUUUUCUGCCGUGUUAAACGUUAAAAUAACUAUCUACCCUCAUCAUACCUGCAAUGUCAUUUUUUAAAAUUAUUUUUUGUAUCUUAUUGGAGUAUAAUUUACUUACAACAUUGCAUUAGUUUCAAGUGUACAGCAAAGUGAAUCAGUUAUGCAUAUAAAUAUAUCCAGUCUUUUUUUUCCCAUAUAGGUUAUUACAAACUGAAUAGAUUUUCCUAUGCUAUACAGUAGGUUCUCAUUAAUCAUCUGUUUUAUACAGAAGUGUAUAUAUGUUAUUCCCACCCUCCCAGUUACUCCCACCCACAAUGGUUUCACUUGUGGUAAACGUAAGAUUGGUUUUGAAAUCUCUGAGUUUGUUUCUGUUUUAUAAAUAAGUAUCUCUUAUUUUUAGCUCUCAGGGCAUAUGGAAGUUCCUGGGCCAGGGUUCAAAUCCAAGCCACAGCUGCAACAACACCAGAUCCUUUAACCUAUCCUUCUGGGCCUAGGUUUGAACCUGUGCCACCACAGAGACAGCACCAGAACCUUAAUGCAGUGUGCCACAACAGAAAAUCCCUCUUUUAUAUCAUUUUUAUUAGAUUCCACAUAUAAGUGAAAUCACAUAUUUGUAUUCCUCUGUCUGAAUUAACUUCACUCAGUAGGAUGAUCUCUAGGUCUAUCCAUGAUGCUGCAAAUGGCAUUAUUUCAUUCUUUUUGCGUCCAAGUAAUAUUCUGUUGUGUAUAUGUACCACAUCCUCUUUAUCCAUUCCUCCUUCGAUAGACGUUUAGGUUGCUUCUUUGUCUUGGCUAUUGUAAAUGUUGCUGCAGUGAACAUAGGGGUUCACUAUGUUCACUAUGUUCAAAAGAGCUGAAAACUCUUUUCAAAUUAGAGUUUUCUUUGGAUAUAUGCCCAGGAAUGGGAUUGCUGGAUCAUAUGAUAGUUCUGUAUUUAGUUUUUUAAGGAACCUCCAUACUGUCCUCCAUAGCAGUUGUAUCAAUUUACUUUCCCACCAAUAGUGUGAGAGGGUUCCCUUUUCUCCACAUGUUCUCCAGCAGUUAUUGUUUGUAGACUUUGAUGAUGCCAUUCUGACUGGUGUGAGAUGAUACUUCUUUGUAAUUUUGACUUGUACCUCUCUAAUAAUUAGCGACAUUGAGCAUCUUUGUUGUUGUUGUUGUUGUUGUUUAGGGCCACACCCACGGCAUAAGGAGGUUUUCAGGCUCGUGGUCUAAUCAAAGCUACCUACAGCUGCCAGGCUACACCACAGCUCACAGCAACGCCAGAUCCUUAACCCACUGAGCAAGGCUAGGGAUCGAACCCACGACCUCAUGGUUCCUAGUCAGAUUCGUUUCUACUGUGCCACAACAGGAACUACAUUGAGCAUCUUUUCAUGUGUUCUUUGGCCAUCUGUCUGUCUUCUUUGAAGAAAAGUCUGUCUAGAUCUUUUGACACUUUUUUGAUUGGGUUGUCUUUUUGAUAUAAAGUUGUGUGAGAUGUUUGUAUAUUUUGGAGAUUAAUCACUUGAUUCAUUUGCAAAGAUUUUUCUCAUUCUGUGGGUUGUCUUUUCAUUUUUUUUAUGGUUUCUUUUUCUGUGAAAAAGCUUUUAACUUUAAUUAGGUCUUAUUGGUUUCUUUUUGGUUUUAUUUUCAUUUUUCUAGAAGGUGAAUCAAAUAAGAUAUUGCUACAACUUACGUCAAAUAGUGUUCUGCUUAUGUUUUCAUCUAGGAAUUUUAUAGUAUCUGGCCACAUGCUUAUGCCAUAAAUACAUUUCAAGUUUAUUUUGUAUAUGGUGUUAGAGAAUGUUCUGAUUUCAUUCUUUUAUAUGUAGCUGUCCAGUUUUCCCAGCCACACUUAUCGAAGAGACUGUCUCUCCUCCACCACUGCAGUGUCAUUUUAAAAAGAUGGUAUGAGGAAGUUCCCACUGUGGCUCAGCGGUAAUAAGCCCAACUAGUGUCCAUGAGGAUGUGGGUUCAAUCCCUAACCUCACUCACUGGGUUAAGGACCCAUCUUUGGAUCCCACAUUGCUAUGGCAUGGGCUGGCAGCUGUAACUCCAAUUGUACUCCAGCCAGGGAACUUCCAUAUACCGCAUGUGUGGCCCUAGAAAGCAAUAAAUAAAUAAAUAAAUAAAGAUAUGACUUCUAGGCAAAGAGACCUGAUUAAAAAAUCGUGACCUAUCUAAAGGAACAAUGUGACUGUCAGAAGGGAGGUGGAUUUGCCACUGAAAUAUAAAAAAUGUACUCCAAAGGAAAAACAUUUUGUCUGUCCCAGUGCUAUCUAGGGGAGAGAAAAUCUGUCCCAGAGCUUUAAGUAUGUUCAUGUAUUCAGUCAUUAAUUCAUUUAUUCAUAUUCUCCCUCAAAAGAUAGAGUUGCAGGUCUUCUGUAUUAGCUGUAACUGGUUAUCAUUCCUUAUGAUUAGAAUCUCAAACUCCUGACUUGGAGACGGAUUUUCACACUCAACAAUUUGUCAUCUGAAGGGUAUGUUUGUUUAAUAAGAAUUUUAUGUUCUGUAAGAAUUAUGAAUUUGAGGAAAAUGAGAGAGAGGAAAAAAAGCAUAUAAUAAAACAGAUAGCACUGUUUUCUUGUGGAAUUCUGUAUAAAAUAUUGACAUUUCCGAAGGGCAUUUCUAUCUUUCUUUAAUUUUCCCGUGACUGCCCUAACCUAUCACACAUGACAUUAGUAACUUUCAUAAUAGCCUGUAAUAAGCCCAUAUUAAAGUUUUUGUUCUUGACAG